GAAACACAUCACGUGCACCAAUGUUUUCAACAGAGCUUGUGUGUCACCAUCCUACUUACGAUUUUUUAAUGUUAUUCAUUGCUAGUCAAAAGGUCAUUUGCUGUUUUUAAAGCUAUAUUUUUGGACCUCAAGAUCAUUCUUUCAGCGUUCAAGCCAAUCAAGAUGUGAAGCAAAAAGCUCAUAAGAAAAAAUUCAAGCCAUCCUCGAUCUCAACCAGAUCCUACCCUCUCUCAACAAAACAAAAGCAUCUAGGAAGAUAUAAAUUCAACCAUAAGACACUUAGUAACCUCACCUGUCACCUAAUCAUUAAGUAUACAUAUACAUAAUUAUAAUUAUACAUGUUUAUUUUUGCUUGUGUGUAUACACUGUAGUUUUGCAACCACUUACUUUAAACAUUAUAUAGUAUAAUUUAUUGACAUCCCUUAGAGUACAGUAUUACACUUAUGAUUAGUACAGUGUCAAGACUCACAAAGGGAGUUUAGUAAGAUAAUAAAUACAUUGUUGUCGUGUUUAUAAUUAUGUAUAUAACUCUAGCUUUUUUUUACUGAUAUGGA